AUACCUUUCUCGGCCUUUUGGCUAAGAUCAAGUGUAGUAUCUGUUCUUAUCAGUUUAAUAUCUGAUACGUGACCCAAUGGCUCACACGAUAUUAAAUUCAUUUUUUUAGGGGAAGGGCCCACCACAGUAGCUUGCUAUUGGGGCUUUCGAGCGUCGCCCAAGCGUUGCACUAUUGCAUGGGCAUGGCGCAUCCCAU
rfam:Prunus persica cultivar Lovell chromosome G3, whole genome shotgun sequence.